rnacentral:tRNA from 1 species
CUAAAAAUAGCUAAAUUUAAGCAUCAGAAUUUUAAUUUGGGGAUGAUUUAUUAAUCUUUUUAGA